rnacentral:rRNA from 1 species
UGGGCACUCUAAGGAGACUGCCGGUGACGAAACCGGAGGAAGGUGGGGAUGACGUCAAGUCAUCAUGGCCCUUACGGCCUGGGCUACACACGUGCUACAAUGGUACGGUACAAAGGGUUGCCAAGCCGCGAGGUGGAGCUAAUCCCAUAAAACCGAUCGUAGUCCGGAUCGCAGUCUGCAACUCGACUGCGUGAAGUCGGAAUCGCUAGUAAUCGUGAAUCAGAAUGUCACGGUGAAUACGUUCCCGGGCCUU